rnacentral:piRNA from 1 species
UUGGUACAAGGGAUAACCCAUGGACUUGC